rnacentral:tRNA from 1 species
GCGGGGAUAGCUUAGUUGGGAGAGCGUCAGACUGAAGAUCUGAAGGUCACAUGUUCAAUCCACUCUCACCGCA